rnacentral:rRNA from 1 species
CACGGGGGGAGCAAGCGUUGUUCGGAAUCACUGGGCGUAAAGGGCGUGUAGGCGGUCAGGUAAGUGGGAUGUGAAAUGCCCCGGCUCACCCGGGGACCGGCAUCCCAUACUGCUUGGCUUGAGUACGGGAGAGGAUGUGGGAAUUCCUGGUGUAGCGGUGAAAUGCGUAGAUAUCAGGAGGAACACCGGUGGCGAAGGCGCACAUCUGGCCCGAUACUGACGCUGAGGCGCGAAAGCUAGGGGAGCAAACGGG